CAAUAGCGUAUAUUUAAGUUGUUGCAGUUAAAAGGCUCGUAGUCGGAUUUUGGCUGAGAACGAUCGGUCCGCCGUUAGGUGUGCACUGAUUGGUCUCAGCUUCCUGGUGAGGAGGUGUGCUUCACGGCCACUUAGUCACCGUGGUUACUUUGAAAAAAUUAGAGUGUUCAAAGCGGGCUUACGCUUGAAUAUAUUAGCAUGGAAUAACACCAUAGGACUCCUGUCCUAUUUCGUUGGUCUCGGGACGGGAGUAAUGAUUAAGAGGAACAGUUGGGGGCAUUCGUAUUUCAUUGUCAGAGGUGAAAUUCUUGGAUUUAUGAAAGACGAACUUCUGCGAAAGCGUCUGCCAAGGAUGGUUUCAUUGA
rnacentral:rRNA from 1 species